AGCAGGAGGAGCUGACGUCUGGCACAGUCAUGGCUGGCGCGCUGGUGCGGAAAGCAGCAGACUAUGUCUGGAGCAAGGAUUUCCAGGACUACCUCAUGAGUACUCACUUCUGGGGCCCAGUAGCUAACUGGGGUCUGCCCAUUGCUGCCAUCAAUGACAUGAAAAAAUCUCGAGAGAUUAUCAGUGGGCGGAUGACAUUUGGUGCAGCCUGGAAACUGGCUCCUGUUAGCAUGCCAUGCAACGAGUGAAGUAGCCCAGGUCAUCCAGGGAGGACAGCUUAUUAAAUAUGAGGUGACUAAAAAGGCAUCUGCAUAACAAGGGAAAUGAAGAACUAGCUUUUAAAGGGACAGCAUCACCAGCUACGCUGCUGAAUCACAGAUUCCAUCAUCAUAGUCUUGCUAGGGAAAAUAACGCUGAACGCUAUUUUUACU